CCCUUAGAUGUUCUGGGCCGCACGCGUGCUACACUGAGUGGAUCAGCGGGUCAGGUUGCGCGAAAGCGUUUCCUAAUCUUUAAAUCCGCUCGUGAUGGGGAUUGACGGUUGGAAUUUUCUGUCAUGAACGAGGAAUACCUUGUAAGCGCGGGUCAUCAUCCCGCGCUGAAUACGUCCCUGCCCUUUGUACACACCGCCCGUCGCUCCUACCGAUUGAGUGGUCCGGUGAGGCUUUGGGAUCUGAGCGGAAAGAGCGUUUCGCUGUUUCUGCUCGGAAAACUCAGUCGAACCUUAUCAUUUAGAGGAAGGAGAAGUCGUAACA
rnacentral:rRNA from 1 species